GUGGGGAAUAUUGGACAAUGGGCGCAAGCCUGAUCCAGCAAUGCCGCGUGGAUGAAGAAGGUCUUCGGAUUGUAAAGUCCUUUCGGCGGGGACGAUGAUGACGGUACCCGCAGAAGAAGCCCCGGCUAACUUCGUGCCAGCAGCCGCGGUAAUACGAAGGGGGCUAGCGUUACUCGGAAUGACUGGGCGUAAAGGGCGCGUAGGCGGUUUGGACAGUUAGGCGUGAAAUUCCUGGGCUCAACCUGGGGGCUGCGCUUAAUACAUCCAGACUUGAGUGUGGAAGAGGGUCGUGGAAUUCCCAGUGUAGAGGUGAAAUUCGUAGAUAUUGGGAAGAACACCGGUGGCGAAGGCGGCGACCUGGUCCAUUACUGACGCUGAGGCGCGAAAGCGUGGGGAGCAAACA
rnacentral:rRNA from 1 species